GAAAACGGUGCAAGUCAAUUUUUUAAAUUUUUGGAAAACGCGAUUUUUAGAUUCAAAACUUCAUAAUUCAUAAAUAAACAUGCUAAAACACUGUUGCAUUGAGUAUUUGAUAACUCAUAUAUACAGAGUAUGAUAUUAUAAAACUGAAAUUGUCAUGUACAGUAGGUAACAAGAGAAAUUAAAAAAAAAAACAACCAAAGGUCUGGAGGAAAAAGGCAAAAACGCUGUAAUUGACAAAAUAUAAUAUUAAUUCAA
rnacentral:lncRNA from 1 species